AAAAGAGCUGGAGAGAAAUGGCUACCUGCUGUGGAAGACCAGGCCCACCCUGUAUCCUCAGCCCUCUGCUCUCUCGCCUUUGGGCCUAAAACUAUGUGUGAACAAGAAGAGCAGCUGUCACUAUAUGUAUGAAGGCACCCAGCUGGGGGUGGACAACAUCGAGACCUGCAUCCAGAAGACAUUUUGUGGCUCCAAGGAAGGACAAGGUCCUAGGCAUGAGGUUGCAGGGGAAUAAAUUCCCCCCAGCUACAUCCAAAUGGGAUGCUUGACCAGACUGUCAGCUUGCUCCCUGGUAUUACCACCCCAUACUGAAAAGCAAUCCACAUAAGGAGCUCCAGCACCAGCAAAAGGUAAUGCAAAGAAGAGAGGAGAGAAAAGCCUUCCGGGUUCACCUUUCCCACCAUCUAGGGAAAGCACUAGAGAAUGAAGGUCAGCAUAAACAGAAGGACUCCUUUCUCUAAACUAAAAGCAGAAGAGAUAGGCAUUCCUCUUGCUGCAUGUGGAUGAAUAGAGAUGAAUUCCAGAAGAAUAAGAGAAAAAGGAAUGUCAGAGUUGAAAGUGAUGUUUUACCCCCGGUCCAUCCUCAUUCUUACAUCCAAGAAGCAACUGAGGGCGAAGAGGUGAAAAGGCUUUGCCUAAGGCUACACAGAGGCCUGGGUUCCACAGGGAGGCUGAAGGAGGAAGGCAGCUGAGGUUUUUAGUGGUUUGACAUUGAGCUCCUGUCCAUAGCUCAGGUGCUUCACCCUGAUUAAAUCCUGACAUAACUGUAGGAAGUUGUGUCAUUACCCCCAUUUUAUAGAUGAAAACCCUGAUGGUCAGGAAGUCCUGGGACAAGACAAAAGCUGUUCAGUGGAAACUUUCUGAGGCUAACACUGCAAAGUAUCCUUGGCCUUGACUGUGCACCUGAGCAGCCUUAUCUGUAGGGUGACCACAUGCUCUGGUUCACCUGAAUCAAGCCUGGUUUAUACCUGUUGUCCCAGGGUCAGUAGUAAUGGCACCUUCUUUUGCUCUCAAAAGUGCCCCAGUCGGGAUAAUACAUUUAUCAUGUGAUUACUCUAGUAUCUACAAAAUGGGGUAUUCAUAUUACCUGCUCAUGGAGUUUUCGCAAGGAAUCAAUGGGAUUUCACACAUAAAAUGCAUGGCAUCUGGCAUGUAGUAAGCACUAAAUAGAUGUUAGUGGUUAUUGUUACUGUUAUUAUUAUUAUUAUUAGGAAGGUAUCUGAAGAGGGGGCAGCAAGGAGUAAAGACAUGGUUUCCCACUUGACAUGCCCAUCACAGUCUCCACGAAUGGCGCUCCCUGGAGUUGGGCAGUGCCCAUUCAAACUGACCUGUUGGGAAUGGCACCAUCCACUCUAGCCUAGAGGCCAUCUGGAGGCACUGAGCUUGCCUCUUCCACCUCUCCAUCAGUCACAUUCACUGCUUGGGUCUCUUUGGGUCCCAAAGUUGAAACUGAUUUUUUUUUUUUUUCCCUUUUACUCUAAAGUCUAAGGCUUAGAUUUCUUAAAGAGGAAGAAGAGUCACAGAGAAUCCUAUAGAGGAUCCCCUCCCCCCAGCCCCAGCCUGUGCUUAAUUAAGUGAGUGGCUUAAGGGACUUGCUUCCUCUUCAAGAUUAAGAGGUGGGUGUGAAUAUUUUCCUCUGGCCCCCUUAUAUGUUCUUGAUUACAGUAAUAAAAAUGCUAAGCUCUAUUGCCUCUCACUGGAGUAAAGGCAGCUGAAAACUCCUCAUUCCCUGAAGAACCUAAUUGUUGAUUCUAGUGCAUCUAAACAGGUGUUCUUUAGAUUGCUUUUUCUAAUGCCUUUUCACUGGAAAGAUCAAUUUAAAUGUUGCUUUGAGCUAAUCAGUGAUUGCUUCUGUAUUCAUCCAAAUUUAUAUCUUUGCUUCUGCGUGCUAGAUGAGACAUUACUUUCAAAGUCUAUAAACUUAAAUAAGGGAGGUGAUUUCUAAUUUAGCUCUUUGUCCUCUUCUGUCUUCCAUAUUUUAUGCAAAAUAUGCAUGUAUUUCUUUUUGUUAUUUAAAAUCCUAGUUGAAACCUGUGUUUGAACGUCCUGAGUCAUCUUUGGAUGUCCUAUAACGCCACGUGUGGUAUGUCCUACAGAGUGGGUAUUCAAUAAAUAUUUGUGGAAAAGAUAAAUUCAUGCCUUAACCUGGAUUGCAAGCACAUUGGAUUUGUGGUCCCUAGGUGUCUGAGUUCAGGAAUUCUUUCAAUAUUGUCUGAACUUUCUUGUGUCUGCAUCUGUGUUUAUUCUGCUCUCUCUGCCUAGAAUUUCCCCAGUCCCAUCUCUCAGAAAGCUCACGUUCACGCAAGGUUCUCAUCAAAUGCCAGCUGCUCCACGAAACCAGGCUGCAGUCUCCAACCACCUCUCCUGGAGUCAGUAUCCGAACAAGGGAUCUGGAGAGGGUUGCAUCUGAUUUUCCAAACCCCACGGUACUCUGCACCUCUCUGAUUUAUCUCAUCUGUGGGUAUUUGCGCCUGGCCUUUUUUCACCCAUGGUGAGCACGUGAAACUUCUUCAGGCAACACAGAGGGUGUACUUUGCUGAACCACAGAUUUCUUGCUGAAGACCCAUGUGACAGGACUAUAAAUUUUCACCAGAAAUUGAUGGGAGAACGGACACUUCAAAGUGCCUGAAAGACUUUGCAAAAGGUCCCAAUUAGCAGAAUGCAGCUAACACCUUAAAAAAAGAAAAUAGAAUAAAUGUUGCAGUGGGAAUGAAUCUUGCCUGGAGUGCUGGGUUUUUGGCUGAUUGCCUGGCGAGAGUGGUGGCCAGGACUUGCCAGCUGGCUGAUCCACACGCCUAUAAAGGAUGCGGUCAGCUUACACCUUGGCAAGCUACAAUUUUGAUGGAAAUCUUAGAGGUCGGCAGGCGUUCUCCCUAGUAAAGUACGUUAGAUCAGGUCAUUGCUUUUAUUUGAGUGAAGAAAAUAUCCUGAUGGCCAGGAUUAGGAGCACCAAGUCAGUACUCUGCUCCAAAGGAGAAUUCAUUACUGCAUCAGAAGGGAUAUAUGCCCUAAAGGAGACAGAGGGUGUAAUUGAAGGUGGCACAUUCAUCUAAUCCCCACGUUAAACCAGUCAUGCCACCGAAGCAAACCAACUGGCUCGCCAGCAACCACACAUCUUCCCACAAGUUCCACUCAACAACCAGUUUUUCAAACUCUGAACUCCAAAGCUACUGCUUUCCUAUCCUCUUGUGUUUACUCAUAUUUACCUGUGGGUAGUUGUUUCACUUGUUUGUUUUGCAUAGAUCUGACUUCGAGGAUCAGAUGUAAACAUUCUAGUAGCCCCACAGUGGCUAGCUUAGUGCUUUUCAUCUGGAGGCACUCCAUGAAUGACAAAGCUGCCAAAGGAGCUUCCAUAGUCCACAGUCCAUCCUGAAAAUUUAAAAACCAGUUUUAAAAAACUGACAACCUCUCUAUCAGUCUCCCAAAUGGAUUUAUUUUUUUGAAAUUUAUUAAAAACUGAUUUUAGGGCACCUGGGUGGCUCAGUCGGUUA